rnacentral:rRNA from 1 species
GACGAACGCUGGCGGCGUGCUUAACACAUGCAAGUCGAACGGAAAGGCCCUGCUUUUGUGGGGUGCUCGAGUGGCGAACGGGUGAGUAACACGUGAGUAACCUGCCCUUGACUUUGGGAUAACUUCAGGAAACUGGGGCUAAUACCGGAUAGGAGCUCCUGCUGCAUGGUGGGGGGUGGAAAGUUUCGGCGGUUGGGGAUGGACUCGCGGCUUAUCAGCUUGUUGGUGGGGGAGUGGCUUACCAAGGCUUUGACGGGUAGCCGGCCUGAGAGGGUGACCGGCCACAUUGGGACUGAGAUACGGCCCAGACUCCUACGGGAGGCAGCAGUGGGGAAUAUUGCACAAUGGGCGGAAGCCUGAUGCAGCGACGCCGCGUGCGGGAUGACGGCCUUCGGGUUGUAAACCGCUUUCGCCUGUGACGAAGCGUGAGUGACGGUAAUGGGUAAAGAAGCACCGGCUAACUACGUG